UCGAACGGAGUUGUUAUUCAGAAGUUCUUCGGAAUGGAAGGAUAAGAACUUAGUGGCGGACGGGUGAGUAACGCGUGGGUAACCUGCCUUACACUGGGGGAUAACACUUAGAAAUAGGUGCUAAUACCGCAUAACAGAGGGAGUCGCAUGACUUCGUCUUAAAAACUCCGGUGGUGUAAGAUGGACCCGCGUCUGAUUAGCUUGUUGGCGGGGUAACGGCCCACCAAGGCGACGAUCAGUAGCCGGCCUGAGAGGGUGAACGGCCACAUUGGGACUGAGACACGGCCCAAACUCCUACGGGAGGCAGCAGUGGGGAAUAUUGGACAAUGGGGGGAACCCUGAUCCAGCGACGCCGCGUGAGUGAAGAAGUAUUUCGGUAUGUAAAGCUCUAUCAGCAGGGAAGAAAGAAAUGACGGUACCUGACUAAGAAGCCCCGGCUAACUACGUGCCAGCAGCCGCGGUAAUACGUAGGGGGCAAGCGUUAUCCGGAUUUACUGGGUGUAAAGGAGCGUAGACGGCGAUGCAAGUCUGAAGUGAAAGGCGGGGGCUCAACCCCCGGACUGCUUUGGAAACUGUAUGGCUGGAGUGCAGGAGAGGUAAGUGGAAUUCCUAGUGUAGCGGUGAAAUGCGUAGAUAUUAGGAGGAACACCAGUGGCGAAGGCGGCUUACUGGACUGUAACUGACGUUGAGGCUCGAAAGCGUGGGGAGCAAACAGGAUUAGAUACCCUGGUAGUCCACGCCGUAAACGAUGAUCACUAGGUGUCGGUGGGUAUGGACCCAUCGGUGCCGCAGCAAACGCAGUAAGUGAUCCACCUGGGGAGUACGUUCGCAAGAAUGAAACUCAA
rnacentral:rRNA from 1 species